GAUGAACGCUAGCGGCAGGCUUAACACAUGCAAGUCGAGGGGUAUGCUUCUUCGGGAGCAGAGACCGGCGCACGGGUGCGUAACGCGUAUGCAAUCUGCCUUUUACAGGGGGAUAGCCCAGAGAAAUUUGGAUUAAUACCCCAUGGUAUUAUAGGGUGGCAUCACCUUAUAAUUAAAGUCACAACGGUAAAAGAUGAGCAUGCGUCCCAUUAGCUUGUUGGUAGGGUAACGGCCUACCAAGGCUACGAUGGGUAGGGGUCCUGAGAGGGAGAUCCCCCACACUGGUACUGAGACACGGACCAGACUCCUACGGGAGGCAGCAGUGAGGAAUAUUGGUCAAUGGGCGCAAGCCUGAACCAGCCAUGCCGCGUGCAGGAUGACGGUCCUAUGGAUUGUAAACUGCUUUUGUACGGGAAGAAACACUCCUACGUGUAGGAGCUUGACGGUACCGUAAGAAUAAGGAUCGGCUAACUCCGUG
rnacentral:rRNA from 1 species